rnacentral:rRNA from 1 species
UGACUCCUUAGGUCUGGGAUCAGAGGAACUUCUGCUAAUCCCGGAUGAGCCCUUGGGUAAAAGAUAAAUUGCCUGGAGAUGAGCUCGCGUCUGAUUAGCUAGUUGGUGGGGUAAAAGCGUACCAAGGCGACGAUCAGUAGCUGGUCUGAGAGGAUGAGCAGCCACACUGGGACUGAGACACGGCCCAGACUCCUACGGGAGGCAGCAGUGGGGAAUUUUCCGCAAUGGGCGAAAGCCUGACGGAGCAAGACCGCGUGGGGGAGGAAGGCUUUAGGGUUGUAAACCCCUUUUCUUUGGGAAGAACAAAAUGACGGUACCAAAGGAAUCAGCCUCGGCUAACUCCGUGCCAGCGGCCGCGGUAAUACGGAGGAGGCAAGCGUUAUCCGGAAUGAUUGAGCGUAAAGCGUCCGCAGGUGGCCAUGUAAGUCUGCUGUCAAAACCCAGGGCUCAACUCUGGUCAGGCAGUGGAAACUACAAAGCUAGAGUCUGGUAGGGGCAAAGGGAAUUCCCGGCGUAGCGGUGAAAUGCGUAGAUUUCGGGAAGAACAUCGGUGGCGAAAGCGCUUUGCUAGGCCAGAACUGACACUCAGGGACGAAAGCUAGGGGAGCGAAAGGGAUUAGAUACCCCAGUAGUC